CCUACGGGUGGCAGCAGUAGGGAAUAUUGCUCAAUGGGGGAAACCCUGACGCAGCAACGCCGCGUGGAUGAAGAAGGUCUUCGGAUCGUAAAACCCUUUUGUGAGAGAAGAAAAUGACGGUAUCUAACGAAUAAGCACCGGCUAACUCCGGGCCAGCAGCCGCGGUAAUACGUAGGGGGCAAGCGUUACACGGAAUGACUGGGCGUAGAGAGGGCGCAGGCGGUCUUGUAAGUCAGAUGUGAAAGCCCGUGGCUUAACCACGGGACUGCAGUUGAAACUGGGUGUCUUGAGUGCAGGAGAGGAAGGUGGAAUUCUUGGUGUAGCGGUGAAAUGCGUAGAUAUCAGGAGGAACACUCGUGGCGAAGGCGGCCUACUGGACCGUAACUGACGCUGAGGCACGAAAGCGUGGGGAGCAAACAGGAUUAGAUACCCUAGUAGUC
rnacentral:rRNA from 1 species